UUUCUGAUACAGAUGAAGCCUCCAGGUAGCAGGCUUCAGAGAAAAUAGAUUGUAAAUGUUUCUUAUUAGACUUAAAAAGAUGCCAGACUCAGGGCAUUGUGAAGAUUAAAUGAGCAAAUCCAAGUAACAUACCUUAGUGCAGCAUGUGGCAGCUAAAGGGAAGUUAUCACAGAUGGAAGCCAGAUUUCAGAUGGAAUCUACAGGAAGGAAUGAAAAGCACUAAAAAAGCUGGUUCCAGCACCUACUCAUUGAGAAGAGUCAGAACUCCCUAAUGAACAUACACAUGUCCAGACAAGGCUGGGGCCAAACAGACCACAAGACUGAUGUGAAUGGAUGUGAUGCUCAGAGCUGCUGCAGGAUGAAGCCCACAAAGAGAAGAGGACAAAUCCAGAAGCCACAGAGAAGCAGAACCAGCAGCCUGGUGUGCCUUGGGUAGAGCACGGCUACUUAAGCGUUUGUUA